rnacentral:SRP_RNA from 1 species
GCUGGGCAUGGUGGUGCAUGCCUGUAAUCCCAGCUACACAGGAGGCUGAGGCAGGAGAAUCACUUGAGCCCAGGAGGCAGAGGUUGCAGUGAGCUGAGAUCUUGCCACUGCACUCUAGCCUGGGUAACAGAGUGAGACUCUGUCUCAA